AGUGAACGCUGGCGGCGUGCUUAACACGUGCAAGUCGAACGAGAACGGAUUAUAGCUUGCUAUAAUUGUCAGCUAAGUGGCGGACGGGUGAGUAAUGUAUAGGUAAUAUGCCUCUUACUAAGGGAUAACAAUUGGAAACGAUUGCUAAUACCUUAUAUUCCUUUUUAUCAAAAGAUAAAAAGGGAAAGAUUUAUUGGUAAGAGAUUAGCCUGUAUUGUAUCAGUUAGUUGGUGGGGUAAUGGCCUACCAAGACGAUGACGCAUAACUGGUUUGAGAGGAUGAUCAGUCACACUGGAACUGAGACACGGUCCAGACUCCUACGGGGGGCAGCAGUGGGGAAUAUUGCACAAUGGACGAAAGUCUGAUGCAGCAACGCCGCGUGGAGGAUGACACAUUUCGGUGCGUAAACUCCUUUUAUAUAAGAAGAUAAUGACGGUAUUAUAUGAAUAAGCACCGGCUAACUCCGUGCCAGCAGCCGCGGUAA
rnacentral:rRNA from 1 species